rnacentral:rRNA from 1 species
CGGGACGGGGUGGAGUAAUGUCUGGGAAACGUGCCUGAUGGAGGGGGAGUAAUACUGGAACGGUAGCUAAUACCGCAUAACGUCGCAAGACCAAAGAGGGGGACCGUUCGGGCCUCUUGCCAUCGGAUGUGCCCAGAUGGGAUUAGCUAGUAGGUGGGGUAACGGCUCACCUAGGCGACGAUCCCUAGCUGGUCUGAGAGGAUGACCAGCCACACUGGAACUGAGACACGGUCCAG